rnacentral:rRNA from 1 species
UACGAGGGGAGCAAGCGUUGUUCGGAUUUACUGGGCGUAAAGGGCGCGUAGGCGGCGUGACAAGUCACUUGUGAAAUCUCCGGGCUUAACUCGGAACGGUCAAGUGAAACUGUCGUGCUAGAGUACAGAAGGGGCAACUGGAAUUCUCGGUGUAGCGGUGAAAUGCGUAGAUAUCUGGAGGAACACCGGUGGCGAAGGCGGCAUCCUGGACCAACACUGACGCUGAGGAGCGAAAGCCAGGGGAGCAAACGGG